UAGGUGGGAUAGGCGAAGUGCGUGGGAUCAUUAAUGCCAGCGCGGUCCUGCUCGUGCUGGAUUUCGCGCUCCAGGUCGACCGACAUGCGCUGGAAGUCGGCGAUCAUGCCUUCGAUCUGCGCAACCCUUCGGCGCUUUUCGUCGACCUGAAAUUUCUUCAGGCGGAUCAGCGUUUCACGUGACUUCAUCGACUCGUACUCCCCAGAAGUCCCAACCACAAAGCGGGACGGAACCGGCAUCCCCCCAAGGGCCCCUCCGGUCAAACACAGAUGGCGGGAUCAUGGCGCGACAAAGUUAGCGUUCCGUUUCCAAGGUUUGCAGGAUUUGCUCCAAUCGGCGGUAG
rnacentral:misc_RNA from 1 species